rnacentral:rRNA from 1 species
GGGUCAGUAGGUUGGUCGUGCCACCGGUACGUACUGGUCUCACUGAUUCCUCCUUCCUGAAGAACCGUAAUGCCACUAAUUUGGUGUUGCGGGGAAACAGGACUGUUACUUUGAAAAAAUUAGAGUGUUUAAAGCAGGCUAACGCUUGAAUACAUUAGCAUGGAAUAAUGAAAUAGGACGAUCGAUCCUAUUUUGUUGGUUUCUAGGAUUGACGUA